rnacentral:rRNA from 1 species
UUAAUUGUGAUGUUUUGCCUUAAGCUUAGCGAACAUCCUGAUGUUUUAAUUAUCUUAUGUGUGGGGUAACUAUUCAUUCACUUGACAUUUAAAUUUGAUCAUUAUGGGGUUGGACACCCUUAAAGGCAACCUAAGUCACUAAGGAGUCCUUACCCCCACCCCCCCCUCCCGCACGAGUUGAGCUUGUAGUGCUUUCAAAUCGGAUGGUUAACUAUGUUAUUCUCUUCUAAACCUCAAUGAAUGAUUUUUUAGAUCAAUCCUAGCUCACUACCAAGCUCUUAAAUUUUUCAAGGGUGGAUUUGUAAUUUUUUAGGAAUUUCAUGUGAUGUGCAGAUUCUCAUCAAAGGAAUUAAAUUAUCACUCAACCAUUAGUUUGAGGCUUCUAAUUAGUGGAUUAAUUUCUUCCCAACACAAGCCCCUCACAUUAGGAGUUUCCAAACUUAGUUGUCUUCCAAUACUCAAUAAUUUGGAUAAUUGUAAUUGUAUCCCUUAAUAGAAGGGGGUAUGAGUUGGUUUAUACUACUUUAUUCCUUAUGUCUCAAUCAUCCUAAGAAGUUAAUCAUAAUCAGAACUACCCACUUCUGUCUUGGUUUAGUCGUAAAUAUAAAUUGUGGUCACGGAUUCCCAAAAUUAUCGCUUUUCCCAUAGGGCCUCCUCCUUCAUAAUUCUUUAAAUUUAACUCAAAUGACUUUGAAAAUUUACUAUUACCCCACUCAUGGGUCAAAUGAAAACAUUAAAGGAUAAUUUGUGAUUUUUCUUAAUUUUAUUUAAUUUAUAUAAUUAUUUCAAGACAGAUCUCCUCCAUUGUAUCUUACUAGCUCAACAAGGCAAACACAGCACGCGUUGAUUACACCCAUUGUAUCAACUAGCCUCAAAAAUGGAUGGCGCUUAAACGCGCAACUUACACCUAGCCAUCAGGGCAAUGGCUAAGCUAGGAUGAGUAGGAGGGCGUGGCGACCACCAUAAAACCUGGGGUGCGAGCUCAUGUGGAGCAGCCUUCGGUGUAGCAAAUAUUCAAAUGAGAGCUUUGAAGGCCGAUGGGGGGAAAGGUUUCAUGUGAACGAAACUUGCACAUGGGUUAGCCAAUCCUAAGAGACUGGGGAGACCCGUCAGAGAGCGCUACUUCACGCGAGCUUUGAAAGGGAGUAAGGUUAAAAUUCCCGAGCUGAGAUGUGGCGGCUGACGAAAAUGUUAGGUAGUUUGGAGACGUCGGCGGGGGCUUUGGGAAGAUUUAUCUUUUCUGCUUAAUAGCCUGCGAGCCCUAGAAAAGGAUUAGCCGGAGGUAGGGGCCAGUGGCUAGAAGAGCGCCGCGCGUUUAGUGGUAUCUAAUGCUCUCCCGGUGGCCCCUGAAAAUUUGGAGGGCCGAGUUUCGUCCACGCCCGAUCAUACUCAUAAGCGCAUCAGGUCUCCAAGGUGAACAACCUCUCGUUGAUGGAGCAAUGUAGGUAAGGAAAGUUGGCAAAAUGGAUCCAUAACUUUGGGAAAAGGAUUGGCUCUAAGGGUUGGGCAUGGGGGUCCCAGUCUUAAAUCCAUCGGUUGUAGGCAGACUGCUUGAACUGUACCCGUGGAAAGAACGGAUCUCCACGUGCGGGCUGGGGAACGGACUAGGAACGGCCCCCAUGGGGGCCUUCCUUUGGCGUCGAACAACUGACUUAGAACUGGUACAGUCAAGGGUAAUCAGACAGUUUAAUUACAAUAAAGCAUUGUGACCGUCCCAGUGGAUGCUCAUGUAAUGUGAUUUCUGCCAGUACUAUGAAUGUAAAAGUGAAAAAAUUUAACCAAGUGCGGGUAAACAGCGAGAGUAACUAUGACUCUCUUAAGGUGGUCAAUUUCCUCGUCAUCUAAUUAGUGGCGCGCAUCAAUGGAUUAAUGAGAUUCCCACUGUCCCUGUAUACUAUCUAGUGAAACCACAGCCAAUGGAAUGGGCUUGGCAGAAUUAGUGGGGAAAGAAGACCCUGUUGAGCUUGGAUCUAGUCCAACUUUGCGAAAUGACUUGAGAGGUACAGUAUAAGUGGGACUCAGCUCACCGGCAGAAGUGAAAUACCACUACUUUUAACAUUAUUUUACUUAUUCUAUGAGACAAAGGUGGGGCAUGACCCCUUCUUUUAGCUUUUAAGUCUCGCCCCAGUGGGUAGAUCUGGGUAAAAGACAUUAUCGGGUGGGGAGUUUGGCUGGAGCGGCACAUCUGUUAAAAGAUAAUGCAUGUGCCUGAGAUGAGCUCAAUGAGAACAGAAAUCUCGUGUGGAACAAAUAGGUAAAAGCUUUUUUGCUUCUGAUUUUCAGUGUGAAUAUGAACCGUGAAAGUGUGGCCUAUUGAUCCUUUAGUCAUUCAAAUUUUGAAUCUAGAGGUGUCAGAAAAGUUACCACAAGGAUAACUGGCUUGUGGCAGCCAAGUGUUCAUAGCGACGUUGCUUUUUGACCUAUUGAUGUCAGCUCUUCCUAUCAUUGUGAUGCAGAAUUCACAAUGUGUUGGAUUGUUCACCCACCAAUAAGGAACUUGAGCUGGGUUUAGACCGUCGUAAGACAGGUUAGUUUUACCCUACUGAUGAUCGUGCCACGAUAGUAACUCAACAUAGUACGAGAGGAACCAUUGAUUCACAUAAUUGGCCAUCUUGCUUGGUUGAAAAGCCAGUGGUGCGAAGCUACCGUGUGAAGGAACAUGACUGAACUCCUCUAGGUCAGAAUCCACGCUAAAAAUGUGGCCCAUGAGCCCAUCAUUCGCCCGCCGACCGUUAGUAAGGGCCUCGGCCCCCAAGGGCACGUGACAUGGGUUGUGUUGUGUCGGUCAUGUAGAUGGCUUACAUGGAUGCCCUGAAUUGCAGUUUCAAACUGGUGAUGGGCAGAAUCCUUUUCC